rnacentral:lncRNA from 1 species
GGAGAGGGAGAUGGAGAGGGAGAGGGAGAGGAGAAUCAUUCUUUACAGAGGAAAAGUCACAGCAAUGGCAUUCUGGUGUUUUACUUUUGUAUUAAAUACGUCUCUAUUUGAAGGGUUAAUGUUUUUACUGAAGGAAUAACAUGUUCUUACUUCUUUCAAAGAUUGCUGUCAACAAAUGGUAAUCACCAAUCAUGGAAGAAUUGCUUGACUAACACGAAAGGAAGCAUGGUUUGCCCAGUGUGGGCUCCCUGCACUCAAAGCAUUGGCUACACUGCAGACAGAAACUGUACAGAAGUGGAUGGCGUGCUAACAGAGAUGAGAAAUGACAACUGACAUCUAACAAGAACAUAUGGAAACUAUUUCCCAUAAAUAAGGUGCACAUGUUUCCAUAGCAACCUCUUCUGUUGUGUUCAAUCCUGUGAAACAGAAAUAUAAAAACAAACACAACU